rnacentral:rRNA from 1 species
AUUGAACGCUGGCGGCAGGCCUAACACAUGCAAGUCGAGCGGAAACGAGUUAACUGACCCUUCGGGUGACGUUAACGGCGUCGAGCGGCGGACGGGUGAGUAAUGCCUAGGAAAUUGCCCUGGUGUGGGGGAUAACCAUUGGAAACGAUGGCUAAUACCGCAUAAUACCUACGGGUCAAAGAGGGGGACCUUCGGGCCUCUCGCGUCAGGAUAUGCCUAGGUGGGAUUAGCUAGUUGGUGAGGUAAUGGCUCACCAAGGCGACGAUCCCUAGCUGGUCUGAGAGGAUGAUCAGCCACACUGGAACUGAGACACGGUCCAGACUCCUACGGGAGGCAGCAGUGGGGAAUAUUGCACAAUGGGCGCAAGCCUGAUGCAGCCAUGCCGCGUGUGUGAAGAAGGCCUUCGG